rnacentral:lncRNA from 1 species
UGAGUGCUAUGUGGGCGUCUGGCCACUGGGUGUCACUCUUCGUCCGUGUUCAUUCUGUAUCAGGGUUCUGAGGACGGUCCUGCAUUUGCUGGUCUCCACCCUCUUCCUACAGGGUCCCUCCCUGUGCUUGUGUAUCUCCACUGGAAGGCUUUCCUGACCACACAGCAGUGUACUGAGAGUGAAGUCGCCCCACACAGGAAAGCAGCCUGUUCGUCACGGAAGCAACGAGAGCCCAGCAUCAGGAACCAAUUCUACAGCACCAGCGGCAGCUUGAAACCGAGCUCUUAAGACUUGUGAGGAUCUGGAUGAAAGUGCUUUCAAAGCAGCAUCAAUUCAUAGAUGAAGGUGAUGUGAUCCUGCAUCCUUUCCCUUUAUUCCAGACUGAGAUUAAUUUCUCUCUCUAUGACUGAACAGUUUCCCCAGUUGUGUGAACUCAGUGAACACGCACAGUGCUUCCC